rnacentral:rRNA from 1 species
AGCGAACGCUGGCGGCAGGCCUAACACAUGCAAGUCGAACGGAUGAGUGGAGCUUGCUCCAUGAUUCAGCGGCGGACGGGUGAGUAAUGCCUAGGAAUCUGCCUGGUAGUGGGGGACAACGUUUCGAAAGGAACGCUAAUACCGCAUACGUCCUACGGGAGAAAGUGGGGGAUCUUCGGACCUCACGCUAUCAGAUGAGCCUAGGUCGGAUUAGCUAGUUGGUGAGGUAAAGGCUCACCAAGGCGACGAUCCGUAACUGGUCUGAGAGGAUGAUCAGUCACACUGGAACUGAGACACGGUCCAGACUCCUACGGGAGGCAGCAGUGGGGAAUAUUGGACAAUGGGCGAAAGCCUGAUCCAGCCAUGCCGCGUGUGUGAAGAAGGUCUUCGGAUUGUAAAGCACUUUAAGUUGGGAGGAAGGGCAGUAAGUUAAUACCUUGCUGUUUUGACGUUACCAACAGAAUAAGCACCGGCUAACUUCGUGCCAGCCGCCGCGGUAAUAC